UGUGGUUAUGAUAAUGUUGUGGUUAGGGUUAAGAUAAGGUUGUGGUUAUGAUAAUGUUGUGGUUAGGGUUAAGAUAAGGUUGUGGUUAUGAUAAUGUUGUGGUUAGGGUUAAGAUAAGGUUGUGGUUAUGGUAAUGUUGUGGUUAGGGUUAAGAUAAGGUUGUGGUUAUGAUAAUGUUGUGGUUAGGGUUAAGAUAAGGUUGUGGUUAUGGUUAAGAUAAGGUUGUGGUUAUGGUAAUGUUGUAGUUAGGGUUAAGAUAAGGUUGUGUUUAUGGUUAAGAUAAGGUUGUGGUUAUGGUAAUGUUGUGGUUAGGGUUAAGAUAAUGCUGUGGUAAUGGUUAAUAUAAGGUUAUGGUUAUGGUAAUGUUGUGGUUACGGUUAAGGUAAGGUUGUGGUUAUGG